GUGCCAGCAGCCGCGGUAAUACGUAGGGUGCAAGCGUUAAUCGGAAUUACUGGGCGUAAAGCGUGCGCAGGCGGUUUCGUAAGUCUGUCGUGAAAUCCCCGGGCUUAACCUGGGAAUGGCGAUGGAGACUGCGAGGCUAGAGUUUGGCAGAGGGGGGUAGAAUUCCACGUGUAGCAGUGAAAUGCGUAGAGAUGUGGAGGAACACCGAUGGCGAAGGCAGCCCCCUGGGUCAAAACUGACGCUCAUGCACGAAAGCGUGGGGAGCAAACAGGAUUAGAAACCCCUGUAGUCC
rnacentral:rRNA from 1 species